rnacentral:rRNA from 1 species
AGCAGCCGCGGUAAUUCCAGCUCCAAUAGCGUAUAUUAAAGUUGCUGCAGUUAAAAAGCUCGUAGUUGAAUUUCGGGACCAUCAUGUCGGUCGUGCCUCGGUACGUACUGGCAUUGUUGGUUUCUACCUUCUGACGAACCAUGAUGUCAUUUAUUUGGUGUCGUGGGAAAUCAGGACUGUUACUUUGAAAAAAUUAGAGUGUUUAAAGCAGGCUCACGCUUGAAUACAUUAGCAUGGAAUAAUGAAAUAGGACGUUUGAUUCUAUUUUGUUGGUUUCUAGGAUCGACGUAAUGAUUAAUAGGGAUAGUUGGGGGCAUUAGUAUUCAAUUGUCAGAGGUGAAAUUCUUGGAUUUAUUGAAGACUAACUACUGCGAAAGCAUUUGCCAAGGAUGUUUUUAUUAAUCAAGAACGAAAGUUAGGGGAUCGAAGACGAUCAGAUACCGUCGUAGUCUUAACCAUAAACUAUGCCGACUAGGGAUCGGAUGAUGUUAAUUUUUUAAUGACUCAUUCGGCGCCUUAC